rnacentral:rRNA from 1 species
CUACGGGGGGCAGCAGUGGGGAAUAUUGCGCAAUGGGGGAAACCCUGACGCAGCAACGCCGCGUGAAGGAUGAAGGUUUUCGGAUUGUAAACUUCUUUGAUUGGGGACGAAGAAAUGACGGUACCCAAAAAACAAGCCACGGCUAACUACGUGCCAGCAGCCGCGGUAAUACGUAGGUGGCGAGCGUUGUCCGGAAUUACUGGGUGUAAAGGGCGUGUAGGGGGGGAUAUAAGUCAGAUGUGAAAUCCCGGGGCUCAACUCCGGAGCUGCAUCUGAAACUAUAUUUCUUGAGUGCUGGAGAGGAAAGCGGAAGUCCUAGUGUAGCGGUGAAAUGCGUAGAUAUUAGGAGGAACACCAGUGGCGAAGGCGGCUUUCUGGACAGUAACUGACGCUGAGGCGCGAAAGCGUGGGGAGCAAACAGGAUUAGAUACCCCGGUAGUC